AGCGAACGCUGGCGGCAGGCCUAACACAUGCAAGUCGAACGAAACCUUCGGGCUUAGUGGCGGACGGGUGAGUAACACGUGGGAACGUGCCCUUUGGUUCGGAACAACUCAGGGAAACUUGAGCUAAUCCCGGAUUCGCCCUUCGGGGGAAAGAUUUAUCGCCAUUGGAGCGGCCCGCGUAGGAUUAGCUAGUUGGUGGUGUAAUGGCCCACCAAGGCUCCGAUCCUUAGCUGGUCUGAGAGGAUGAUCAGCCACACUGGGACUGAGACACGGCCCAGACUCCUACGGGAGGCAGCAGUGGGGAAUCUUGCGCAAUGGGCGAAAGCCUGACGCAGCCAUGCCGCGUGAAUGAUGAAGGUCUUAGGAUUGUAAAAUUCUUUCACCGGGGACGAUAAUGACGGUACCCGGAGAGGAAGCCCCGGCUAACUUCGUGCCAGCAGCCGCAGUAA
rnacentral:rRNA from 1 species